UCCAGUGUAAAGGAUCACAGCGGACCAGACGCCCCCCUAACAGCCCUCAUACAGGACUGCAGCAGGACUUCAAACAUCUGGUCAGGAUGAAGAGAAACCAGGAGGAGGAAAUUGAGGAAAUCGAAGAAGAAGAUGACGAUGUUAAUGCUCCAGCCUGGACUGUGCAUAAAGUGGCAGCGCCUCCAGACCAGAGGUCUCUCUUCUUCUCUCGGUCUUUUCACUGAU